CAGCCGCCGCGGGAAUACGUAGGUCCCGAGCGUUGUCCGGAUUUAUUGGGCGUAAAGCGAGCGCAGGCGGUUAGAUAAGUCUGAGGUUAAAGGCUGUGGCUUAACCAUAGUACGCUUUGGAAACUGUUUAACUUGAGUGCAGAAGGGGAGAGUGGAAUUCCAUGUGUAGCGGUGAAAUGCGUAGAUAUAUGGAGGAACACCGGUGGCGAAAGCGGCUCUCUGGUCUGUAACUGACGCUGAGGCUCGAAAGCGUGGGGAGCAAACAGGAUUAGAGACCCCAGUAGCCCCUGUCUCUUAUACA
rnacentral:rRNA from 1 species